UACGUAGGGUGCAAGCGUUGUCCGGAAUUAUUGGGCGUAAAGGGCGCGCAGGCGGCUACGCACGUCCGUUGUGAAAUCGCUCGGCUCAACUGGGCGGGGUCAGCGGAUACGGCGUAGCUGGAGCAAGCUAGGGGGCAAUGGAAUUCCCGGUGUAGUGGUGGAAUGCGUAGAUAUCGGGAGGAACACCAGUGGCGAAGGCGGUUGCCUGGAGCUUUGCUGACGCUGAGGCGCGAAAGCGUGGGGAGCGAGCCGG
rnacentral:rRNA from 1 species